rnacentral:rRNA from 1 species
UACGUAGGGUGCGAGCGUUGUCCGGAAUUAUUGGGCGUAAAGAGCUCGUAGGCGGUGUGUCACGUCGGCCGUGAAAACCUGCAGCUUAACUGUGGGCGUGCGGUCGAUACGGGCAUCACUGGAGUUCGGCAGGGGGAGACUGGAAUUCCUGGUGUAGCGGUGAAAUGCGCAGAUAUCAGGAGGAACACCGGUGGCGAAGGCGGGGUCUCUGGGGCCCGAUACUGACGCUGGAGGGAGCGAAAAGCGUGGGGGAGCGAAACGGGG